rnacentral:rRNA from 1 species
UAAAAUGUAAAUUUAUUAUUUAUUAAAUUAUUAAAAGUUAUUUUCUUUAAAGUUAAAAAAUUUGGCGGUAUUUUAGUCUUUUCAGAGGAACCUGUACUAUAAUUGAUAAUCCACGAUUAGAAUUACUUAAUUUAAAAACUUGUAUAUCAUCGUAGUUGAAUAUUUUAAAAGAAUAUUAAAUAUUCAAAAUUUUUUAUAAAAAUGUAAAUCAGAUCAAGGUGCAGUUUAUAUUUAAGAAGAUAUGGGUUACAAUAAAGUUAUUUUUGGUUAAUAAAUUUAAAAUUUGUUAUAAAUUGGAUUUGAAAGUAAUUUAAUUAAUUUAAAUUUGAUGAUUUUAGCUCUAAAAUAUGC